rnacentral:lncRNA from 1 species
GAAAAAUGGAGGCCAACAUCUUUGAAAGACCCAACUGAACUGAAGCUAUGAUUUGCCCAAAGCCAUUACCUACUGUGACAAGCUGGAUGCUGCUGUGAUUUUUACCCUUCUUUGAUGAAUAAUGCUGUUGGCAAAGAGCAUAUGCUCUGUCGCUCACUGGAGUCCAGAGGCACUGCACAACCCAGGGCUAAUCACAUCAAGCUGGUGGUGGUUUUUAUUGGGUGGCAGUAAUGGCAGAACUAAUGACAGUCAUUAAAAUCUUGCUGCAAACAGCCAUGGGCCUUCAGACCACAGUUGUCUCAGAAUGUGUCAAGGACAUGUUACUCCUAAAGCUGUCUGGAAGGAAUGGCCCAUCUUCCCUUGUUCUUCCCAGUGAAAACAUUGCCUUUGAAAAUUGCAAGGUAAGCAGAAGGAGCCCCAUAGGCCCAGGGCUUCCCUCUCUCUGGCAUCUGCAGUGUGGUGUCUUGGGUGAUUCCAGAUCUUCUCUGGCUGAGAAUUAAAAUUAACUCCUCCAAAGCUGAACUCUUCCAUAGAAAGGGAGAAGAAGAUAACCUUUGGGAUUUUCCACUUCAAUUCAAUAAGUACAAACUUUUUAAUACCUGGAUGUCUACACAGUGCUAAGAGCCAGGAAGGAUUUGGAGAAUAGGAUAGUUGGCUGUUCUGUGGGACCUACUCUCUGGAUAGGGAUCAUCUAUGCACAAAGAAGUCUACAGUGCAAGGAGAGGACAGCGUGAAUAAGGUCCGAGGGGCUGGGAAGGGAACUUCUGGCUGGAGCCUGGGGCUGUACUGACAUUCGUGUCUAUGUGUGUGUGUUUGUUGUGGUGUCUGUGCAUGUGUGUGUGUGUUUGUGUGUGGGGGGGUAUUCUAUGCAUAUGACCUUUCUUGGUGAGAAUAACAUUUUAUCUUCUUCCUCUACAACAGUCCCUUUAAAAUAUCAAGAAACCCUAAGACCAAGGCAAGUUUUUUUUUUUUUAGGUUAUAUAUAAAGAAACACUUGCACAAAGAAGAAACAGAUGAAAGAUAAACCUUAGAUUUUUUUUACAUUGCUUGACUCAUGAAGAACCAUGACUCAGACAAUAACUCCAGGGCAAACUGAAAUUUAUAGCUACUUUCUUAACUCAGGGAAGACACUGUUUAUAGUAGAUCCUCUGAGUGCCAAAAAUAUACUUUUAUAGUUUGGUUCUAACCCAUAGGGUUCUACCUGCAGGAGCACAAAUAUUGAUAGAAGAUUAUAGGAAAAUAAAAUAAUUUAGCAUAAAAACAAAGCUAAAAAAACAGAAUUGGAACUUGAACUUUGGACUCUUGCUCCAAACUUUUUUCCACCAUGUUAUGUUGUUCUGAGAUCAUAAAUUAAGCCCACUCCCCUUACUUUUCUUGAGGAAAGAAUUCUAGAGAGUACGAUUCAUUCAAAAUUCUGUAGCUAAUGGCUGUGGCUGGACUUCAAAUCCAGAUUUCCAAACUUCUUGUCCUAACCUCUUUGCAUAACAUAAAACCAUAAAGGAUAUAAGUUUGAACUAACAACACUAUAGAAUUCUUCCACAUAAUAUUGUUCCUCUAGGAAAAUGUCACAUGACAAAACUUCUACAGAUUCAUUUUAAAGAAAGUAAUUCAGCAAGAACUAAAACAUUGACUAUGCAUUGGGUCCUUUAAUUACAUGAAUUAAAUCAUUUAAUCCUCUGAUUUACUAUCUCAGGUGACUAUGAUUAAUUUUCUCUUUUUAUCAUUGGGAAAACUGGUACAGAGAGGUUGUUAUCUGGCCACAGGUGCACAGCUAGAAAAUGGUGGUCUGGGAUAUUAACUUAAGUCUAAGACCCUGGAACCUACCUCUUAGGUACUCUGUUGUGAAGCCAGAAUAUACAAAUAUUUGGGAAUCAAGUCAGUACCCCAAUGAAAUUACAUUUGCUUAGUAAACACUUUUUAUAACUUAACAAAUUAAUAAUGAAAAUAGCAGUAUAGGGUGAAUACUCAGGUCAAUUGAGCAUAUAAGGAAUGUGUAUACAUAUUAUAUAGUCACUAGCUAAGUGCAUCUACUACUUGGGUCCCAAAACCAUAACAGGUUUAGAAAUUACAUGUGACUGUAUUUUUUUUAAAAAAAAACCAUAAACCAUGCAUUACACAAACUCAUUCAGACUGGUAUAUUUAUUAUUAGUUUGACCUAUGAAAAUUUCCAAUACAUUAUACACUUGCUUUCAUAAUCACUUAAUAAUGAUACUUUGGAAUUCUGAAAAAUUCUCUACACAAUGAGAUAACACACAGCCUUAGAAAAGUCAUUUGAGACAAUAUAGGUGAACCUCGGAGGCAUUAUGUUAAGUGAAACAAGCUAGGCACAGAAAUACAAAUAUUGCAUAAUCUCACUUACAUGUUUACUUUAAAAAAGUUAAAUGCAUAAGAGUAGAGUUGAAGAGUGGUUACCAGGGGCUGGAGGUGGGUGAGGAUGGGGAAUGGGGAAAUGUCAAUCAAAAGGUUCCAAGUUUUAGUGACUUAGGAGUAAUAAGUUUUGAUGAUCUAUUGUAUGGCAUGGUAAAUAUAAUUAAUGAUAAGGUAUUAUUAUUAUUUCAAAAUUGCUAAAAGACAAAAGAAAACAACAAAACUGCUAAGAGUACAUUAAAAAUGUUCUCAUCACACACACAAAAAUGAGUCUAUGAAGGAUGAAUAGGUAAAUGAGUUUGAUUUAAUCAUGGCACAACUACAUACAUCAAAAC